AGCGAACGCUGGCGGCAGGCCUAACACAUGCAAGUCGAGCGCCCCGCAAGGGGAGCGGCAGACGGGAGAGUAACACGUGGGAACGUGCCCUUCAGUUCGGAACAACCCAGGGAAACUUGGGCUAAUACCGGAUACGUCCGAAAGGAGAAAGAUGUAUCGCUGAAGGAGCGGCCCGCGUCGGAUUAGCUAGUUGGUGAGGUAACGGAUAAUCAAGGCGACGAUCAGUAGCUGGUCUGCGAGGAUGAUCGGACUCACUGUGACUAAGACACGGCCCAGACUCCUACGGGAGGCAGCAGUGGGGAAUAUUGGACAAUGGGCGCAAGCCUGAUCCAGCCAUGCCGCGUGGGUGAUGAAGGCCCUAGGGUUGUAAAGCCCUUUCGGCGGGGAAGAUAAUGACGGUACCCGCAGAAGAAGCCCCGGCUAACUUCGUGCCAGCAGCCGCGGUAAUAC
rnacentral:rRNA from 1 species